CCCACCCCAAACCAAAAAGAAUAAAAAACCAUCACCAACCAAAAAAAAUCUCAUGUGAAUCGAAAUCUCUCAUUAUCUAAGUUUAUAUGAUGACGCACGUCUAUGAACACAUUAUAUUCAAUUUUAAUUUCAAUGAUGGAGGGGCCAUGCAAGGACUUAGAAUCUUACUUCUUUUUCUUCUUUCUUAAUAUUUUCCCCGCUAAUUAUAUUAUAAUUUUGGUUGAAAUAAUAGACUACGUACGUCUAUUCUGUUGAACGCUUGAUAAAUGAUCUCUAUUUUCUUAGUCACAAGCUAUAGACAUGUAGACUUGUAUAAUUAUUACAAUGAAUUUUGUACAUAAUUGUUGGUCUUAAAAAUAUCUUAUUUUACUAAUUUGAGUCAAAAUCGGAAAAUGAGGUCGACCGGGGACCAUGUGCCAUUUGGUGGUGUUGUGGAAAAUUGGAGGGGAAAAAAAUCACAUUAUGUUUUGCUAUAAUUUUAAAUCCAAAUAUCACUAAGCUUUUUCUACUUUUUUUGUUUUCUUGCUUUAAAAUAACUUGGGGUCAUUGACAAGGUUUACACGUGAGUGAGACACCUUUACAAUCAUACAAGUAUUAAAAAGCAUAAAAUAAUGUUUUGGUGGAGACUCCAAAGCUUUGUCUUUGUCCACAAAAGUCCUCUAUACGCAGCUUCCUUGUAUCUUUCUCACAUUGUAAAGCUAAUUCCUUAAAAAUUACUUUAUCGUUCAUUACUUUUUCUUCAUUGUGGUUCUUUCUCUUUUAGUACUGGCUAUACCUCAAUUGCUUUUUAUCCUUAUCCCUUUCACUUUUUGGUCUAAAAUUAUCAUUUGAGCUAGGAUAUAUAUAUUUCAUCACAUGUUUGGAUAUGGAGUAUUGUGUCUCUUGGCCACAGCUAUCGAGUAGGACCUUCUCUACUUUUAUGUGAAUUAAAUCAUGUGAAGAAAUUUCAUAUUGAAAAAAAAAAGAUCUAUAAUUAAAUUUUAGUAUAUCUUAUUGACUGGCAAAAUCUUAUGAAGAUAGAAACAAAUAGAAUUGCAAGCUUUAGUACAAUUACUGCAGUUUGGAUAUAGAACCUUAAUUAAAAGUCAAUUAACAUAUUCCAAGAGAUGUCCUUUUAGUAAUUUCAUAAAAGUCUAACUAUAAUAUGAAGAAAAGUUUUUCAAGUCAUUCGUGACUAAAGGUCCUUUUAUAUAAGAUAGACGAGAAAGCUCAUUCAUUAAUUUUUACUAGAGUAAUUUUGGGUUUUUUAUAUGUAUUUUACUAUUUUAGCAUAAGAAAGUUUCUACCUUCCAAUUCUUCUACCUUACCAGAAAAUUCGAGAAUUAACAUAUUAUUCUAGUGUCUCAUAAAUUAGAGUUCCGUCCAUAUAUUUAUUAGAUAUAUUUAUUUGUUAAAAUAAAAAAUGUAGUGUGCUUGAUAUUUUCAGGCUGUUCCACUGUUCUUAUCAGAGAUAGCACCUACAAGAAUUCGCGGAGGACUUAACAUUUUGUUCCAACUUAACGUAACUAUUGGCAUUCUUUUCGCUAGUCUCGUCAACUACGGAACAGCCAAGUAAGUUCCUCACAUUCUCCGAUCUUUCUUUUGUUUAGAAUAAGACUAUAAUAUAUUGCAUAAAUUAGAUAAUUAAGGAGGUUUAUCCUUUAUUUUAUUAACCUCUGAAAUUAGUUGUGUGAGACUCUUGUGGAUUCCAAUCUUGCAUUUUUUGGUCCAUAAAAAUCUAGGCCCACACAACCGUAAGACAAAAGAGAACAUAAUAAAAUUUUCCUACACCUUCAGUCCCUAUAUGUUACUGUCAAAAGAGUUCAAGUCGAGGCUUAGUAUCAUGGAUUUGAUUUUAAUGUGUCAGAAAAAUGAACGUCUCGUCCACAUCUUUGAAUCUUUGCUUAACGACUAUUUUGUUUAAUUUUCUUCCUUUACUAUGGAUCACUCAUGUUUUGACACUUCCUCUUUUAUGAUAUUUCAUGUACUUGUCUUUAGUCUUUGUUUGUAACUAACUACUUUAGACUCUAGCCGACAGUUCCAUCCGCUCGGCUGGAGUUGAUUUCAACUGAAAAUUACCUCAACUAUGAUGGGAAAUAUAAUUAAGAAUACAUUUUAUUUAAAAUUUGUUCUACUAAAUGCAAUUUUUUUUCAUUUGAGUUGUCUGUCAAGCCAGAAAUAAUUCCUUAUGUCCAAAUUAAUUAGUACCUAUAUAUUGAAAAGAAUGGACCUUGGGCCUAACUCACCCAAGGUCCAUUCUUUUCAUGGUAUCAGAGCCAGGCUCAUCCCAAUUAUUGUUAUCGAUGUUGCAUAAGAAAGUUUCUACCUUCCAAUUCUUCUACCUUACCAGAAAAUUCGAGAAUUAACAUAUUAUUCUAGUGUCUCAUAAAUUAGAGUUCCGUC
rnacentral:lncRNA from 1 species